rnacentral:ncRNA from 1 species
AAUACAGGGGAGCUUGUGAGACAGGCUGAGAGGAAGUUCAUAACUUCGACCCAUAUACCUGAUUUGGAUAAUGCCAACGUAGGAACGUAUAUGA